AGCGAACGCUGGCGGCAGGCUUAAUACAUGCAAGUCGAGCGCCUGUAGCAAUACAGGAGCGGCAGACGGGAGAGUAACACGUGGGAACGUGCCCUUUGGUUCGGAACAACACAGGGAAACUUGUGCUAAUACCGGAUAAGCCCUUACGGGGAAAGAUUUAUCGCCAAAGGAUCGGCCCGCGUCUGAUUAGCUAGUUGGUGGGGUAAUGGCCCACCAAGGCGACGAUCAGUAGCUGGUCUGAGAGGAUGAUCAGCCUCAUUGGGACUGGGACACGGCCCAAACUCCUACGGGAGGCAGCAGUAGGGAAUAUUGGACAAUGGGGGCAACCCUGAUCCAGCCAUGCCGCGUGAGUGAUGAAGGCCUUAGGGUUGUAAAGCUCUUUCGGCGGGGAAGAUAAUGACGGUACCCGCAUAAGAAGCCCCGGCUAACUUCGUGCCAGCCGCCGCAGUAAUAC
rnacentral:rRNA from 1 species